UGGGGAAUAUUGGACAAUGGGGGCAACCCUGAUCCAGCCAUGCCGCGUGAGUGAUGAAGGCCUUCGGGUUGUAAAGCUCUUUUGGCGGGGAUGAUGAUGACGGUACCCGCAGAAUAAGCCCCGGCUAACUUCGUGCCAGCAGCCGCGGUAAGACGAAGGGGGCAAGCGUUGUUCGGAAUUACUGGGCGUAAAGGGCGCGUAGGCGGUUUGCUUAGUCAGGCGUGAAAGCCCUGGGCUUAACCUGGGAUGUGCGCUUGAUACUGGCAGGCUUGAGUGUGGGAGAGGUUGGUGGAAUUCCCAGUGUAGAGGUGAAAUUCGUAGAUAUUGGGAAGAACACCGGUGUCGAAGGCGGCCAACUGGACCACAACUGACGCUGAGGCGCGAAAGCGUGGGGAUCAAACA
rnacentral:rRNA from 1 species